AUGGACAAGAUCUUAGGAGCAUCAUUUUUAGUUCUGUGGCUUCAACUAUGCUGGGUGAGUGGCCAACAGAAGGAGAAAAGUGACCAGCAGCAGGUGAAACAAAGUCCUCAAUCUUUGAUAGUCCAGAAAGGAGGGAUUUCAAUUAUAAACUGUGCUUAUGAGAACACUGCGUUUGACUACUUUCCAUGGUACCAACAAUUCCCUGGGAAAGGCCCUGCAUUAUUGAUAGCCAUACGUCCAGAUGUGAGUGAAAAGAAAGAAGGAAGAUUCACAAUCUCCUUCAAUAAAAGUGCCAAGCAGUUCUCAUCGCAUAUCAUGGAUUCCCAGCCUGGAGACUCAGCCACCUACUUCUGUGCAGCAAGCA